AAUAUUGGACAAUGGGGGCAACCCUGAUCCAGCCAUGCCGCGUGGGUGAAGAAGGUCUUCGUAUUGUAAAGCACUUUAAGUUGGGAGGAAGGGCUUUAGGUUAAUACCCCGAAUUUGUGACGUUACCAACCGAAUAAGAACCGGCCUACUAUGUGGCAGCAGCCGCGGUAACACAGAGGGUGCAAGCGUUAAUCGGAAUUACUGGGCGUAAAGCGCGCGUAGGUGGUUCAGUAAGAUGGGUGUGAAAUCCCCGGGCUUAACCUGGGAACUGCUUUCAUAACUGCUGAGCUAGAGUACGGUAGAGGGUAGUGGAAUUUCCUGUGUAGCGGUGAAAUGCGUAGAUAUAGGAAGGAACACCAGUGGCGAAGGCGACUACCUGGACUGAUACUGACACUGAGGUGCGAAAGCGUGGGGAGCAAACA
rnacentral:rRNA from 1 species